rnacentral:lncRNA from 1 species
CAGUAAAUGCUGUGGCAUGAAGGACCCUCCUGGAGUGUCUGAGUUCUCAGGCUUCAAGGCCCCUAGAUAAGCAGAUUUCUCUCCCCUAUCACCAUAGUCACCCCAGGGACUGCAGGGCAGGCCGAAAUCAGCCAGUGACUCAGCUCCUUGGGCAAUUCAGCUGGCCCACAGACCACUUCCUCUGCUCCCCAGCGCCGGAUGGAUGCAGAUCUGUGAGUAAGGAGCCAGCUGCAGGCAAGCAGCUCGAGGGCAGGUGGGCAUGAUGUCUGGCUACCACUCGCACUGGACGCCACACACACAGCCAGGGUGGCAGAAGGCCCCACCUGCCAUGUGCCAGUGGGACACCACCCUCAUGGUCUGCGUUUCCAGGUUUCCAACUAAGGACUGAGCACACUCUCAACAUGGACCUCCUAACUGCUCUCGAGGAUGGACAGCUGGCCUCAAGGGAACACUGCAAAGUGGCUCUAGGAAGAAGCCACUGUCCCUCCAGACCAUAAAAAUGGCUACCAAGGGCAGAGCCAGCAGCUUUCGCUGUAAAGUUUCUCAAGAAAAUCACAGAUAUUCCCCUCUGUGAUGUUCAGCUCAGCCUGGAAAGGAGGACGCUGAACUAAACAGAAGAGAAACAGGGAAAUAAACAGCAUGGCAACCUACAUCAACAGAAACUUAAUUAUUCACCCUGGAUAACUGAGUGUGUGAGUGUGACUGCAAAUAACAAUAUAGCAAAGAGAAGUUUGA